UUUCAAUGGACGGACAGAAAACUCUCGGACUAAAUCUAAAACAUCUUAAACUGUAGAGGAAGAGGAACGGAGGUCUUACAGGCUUGGAACGACAUGAGGAGCGGGCUUUAGAGCUGGUGAUGGUAUAGGAAAGAUGAUAAAGACUAGCAAUGAGGCCUGUGUAUCCGAGCAAUGAGAGUCUAGCGUCGGGGAGAAGUUAAAACGGUUGCAGUCGGAGCUCCUUCUCCAAUUCCAGCACUUCAAGUUCACGGCAUAGAGGUCAGAACCAGUAGGAAUUGGAAGGCCAAGAGGCAGUAGAUCAAGCAGUGUCACGGCUGCGACAUAGUGAGCUGGUGGGGCCAGUGGCAUCUGGACGGGCAGGACUCGCUUUAACAAGGCCCAGGGGAAGGAAAGAGGCAGCUGAUUCAAGAGGAAGGCCGAGCUGGGGUAUAAGAAGUCCACUGCAGCAGGCCAGUAGGGAUGAAGCAGCAUGGACUCAUGGGAGCAUGGGAGCAGGCGGCAGACCGGAAGAAAUCCUGGACAGAAUUGUUGAAGUCAGAGCCACACUGGAUUAAAUUCCUGGUUUAGUCUAUGGGGCCUGGCAGAGACACCACUGUGCCCAGUCUGUGGAGGAGGUUCAUUGGAGCACAUCAUAAGCUGCUGCUCAAAAGCACUGGGAGAGGGGCGCUACCGUUGUCACCACGACCAAAUAAUGAAGGUCUUUGCAGAGGUUAUCAGGACUGGGAUCGCCUGCAGUAAAUACCAGCAACUAGCAAGACAGAACAUCGCCUUUGUGAAAGCUGGGGAGAACCCACACCAGCACCUGAGGCAAUCAGGGCAACAGCACAGGACUGACAGCUGAAGGUUGACCUUGGGAAACAGCUCAAAUUCCCAGAAAACAUUGCAGUGACCACACUCAGGCCAGACACUGUCUUAGUGUCAGAAAUAACAAGGCAAGUGGUCCUGCUGGAGUUGACUGUUCCCUGGCAGGACUGGAUGGAGGAGGCUUUUGAGAAGAAGAGGGCCAAAUACGAGGAGCUGGCAGGCUGAAGCAAGGGGUGGAGGAUCUGAUGAAAUCCCAUCGAGCUCAGGUGCAAAGGAUUUGUUGGCCAGUCACUGAUUAGGGCCCUCAAGAUGCUUGGAGUGGAGGGACUGGACAUCAGGAAAGCUGUCAAGAACAUCAUGGAUGCCGCGGAAAAGGCAUCAAGAUGGCUGAUGAUCCAACAAGCGGGGUGAUCCAUGGAUCAUACAAGGUACUCAGACUGAUGAACCCUGGCUGGGUGUCACACUGACUCACAUAUGUGCCCAAGACUUCCUUCUUCCAUUUGGCAUGACAUUUACAGAUGUAUGGUGCUCAGUAAAUGUUAGACAGUGUGAAAAGUGUGAUAACACACCCCGCUCUCCCCCCUACUGCUUCUUGUAUUGCAGAUAGCAGAAUAGGGGUGCCACACAUAUUCUGUAAAACAGGUUGCAUCAUUUGUGGUUCAGGUCUUUUGUAUGUGCUUCGUUAAAGGUUCUCGAUCCUGGGUGUUGACGUUCGG